GAGAGAGAGAGAGAGAGAGAGAGAGAGAGAGAGAGAGAGAGAGAGAGAGAGAGAGAGAGAGAGAGAGAGAGAGAGAGAGAGAGAGAGAGAGAGAGAGAGUAUCUUUGCCUUAUAUAUUAAUGCUUUUAAUUUUGUAUGUGAAUAAGCAUUAGUUCCACUAUAAAAAUAUGAUUGGAAUGGGAGGAAGAUAAUGAAUGGCCUUGUCUGUCCCCUCCCUUCUUCCGCCCAUCCAGGCAGAUGAUCCUCAUUGUUAACCACUCACUAUGUUCAUUCAACAGUCCCCUCCCCGCCCGCUCCACCCCCCACCUCUGUCUCUCUCUCUCUCUCUCUCUCUCUCUCUCUCUCUCUCUCUUUUGCGGGAGGAGGAAAGGGAGGUAGCUACAUUUGGUUACUGUACGCUAGCUGGGGUGUGAGACAGGUAGCAGCAAGCUACAUAGUAUAUGACAAGUUUACUGUACAUUGUGAUAGGAAAAAAAUAUGUAACAGAGCUGCUAAGUUCCUGAAAAGACUCUAGAAUCAGCAAUAAAUGUAGAGCAACAUU